AAUUGGGGAAAAAUAUGUGUGGUAAGUUUCAAUCCCUCUAAUUUGACUAUGUGAAACCCAAUGAAAAUCAUUUAACAGAAUAUGACUGAUAUUUUAACUUGAAAUUGUUACUGAAAUUCUGUGAGAAUUAGAUUUCACCUGUUGAUGUUUUCUAAUACCGAGGGUAUAGUAAAUGAGUGACACGUGGAUAGUGUCAGGGUAGAUAUAUGUGUUUAUGGGAAUAUGGGUAAGUAUUUGGGAGAAAACAUGCUGUCUGAGUGAUAAAGAUUUGUGCUCGACCGAGUUAGAUUGGUGGGAAGAGAUCAGUAUGUACUCCUACAAGACAGCAAAGGGUUAAAGGACCAAAGGGAAGCUAUUCCCUAGUGGCACUCCGAUGAUUAAGCAAGUAAAAGUUGAAAGAAAGAAAGAGAUUAGACAGCAAAGAGAAUAAUAAGCUAGGUAUGAGUUCGAAUGUUUUACAUGAUAACCAUAAAACUUUAUAGUUUAUAUACUGGUGAUUGGAUCGACGAUGGAGUGCCAAAUGUUAGCAGGGGAUCUAGGCUAUGUAUUGCUAUUUAGUUUUAGAGGCGUGAAAUGCAUUGUUUGUCUAUUGUGUCAGGUUGUUGCCAUCAUUAUAAUGACGGUUAUAUUGUCAGUGAUGGUGACAUUGGCUGUGCUUUGCAGUACUUCUAGUGUGGCUCAUUAAUGCUCUAGUUUUCACUCUUUAAUUUUCCCGUUCGGUCCUUCUCCGAAUGGUACCUUGAAGGAUCAAUCUUUGUAAUAUUCGAGUGGUCUUUCGGAAGGGUCCCAUGACCAAUCGGUAAGAGGAUAUCCAAUUGUUGGAAUGAUUGGA
rnacentral:misc_RNA from 1 species